rnacentral:rRNA from 1 species
GAGGAAUAUUGGACAAUGGAUGGAAAUCUGAUCCAGCCAUGCCGCGUGCAGGAAGACGGCCCUAUGGGUUGUAAACUGCUUUUGUAUGGGAGCAAUAAGGACUACGUGUAGUUUGAUGAGAGUACCAUACGAAUAAGCAUCGGCUAACUCCGUGCCAGCAGCCGCGGUAAUACGGAGGAUGCGAGCGUUAUCCGGAUUUAUUGGGUUUAAAGGGUGCGUAGGCGGCGAUAUAAGUCAGUGGUGAAAUAUUUCGGCUUAACCGAGAGACUGCCAUUGAUACUGUGUUGCUAGAACAUGGUUGCUGUGAGUGGAAUGUGUGGUGUAGCGGUGAAAUGCUUAGAUAUCACACAGAAUAUCGAUUGCGAAGGCAGCUCACAAAGCCAUUAUUGACGCUGAGGCACGAAAGUGUGGGGAUCAAACA